GAGAGCUGAAGAAACGAAGCCUUGGGUGAUUAAAAGAAUCAAGGAACAAUAGAGGAUGAAAGAGCGCGGCCAAACCAUGGCGCCGUAGACGACGGUCAAGCAAGUUGAGUUCUGGGAGAGAGGACCGAAGGAAGAAGUAAAAUCCGUCCUUUCCUUGUUAAAGGAAUGGAUAUGGAGAGUCACUUUGCUACCAAUGCCGUCGAGUAAAUAACCAAUCAGAAGCGGUCACAUGCAUUCGUCGUUGGACAGAGGAGUUCAACUAGUCAACGAGCAUGUUUUUC
rnacentral:misc_RNA from 1 species